UCCUGUUGUAUUUCUGAACGGGAACAGUACAUCAUAAAGUAUGGCGAGUUUGGUGGUCGCGUGGAUUGGAAUCUUUGUCGCCUGCAAGUGGAGUCACCAUUGGGCAAACACUUUCUGAUGGGCAAUGGAACGGAAUCCGGUCUACUGGAAAAUAUUAUUAUCAUUGAGGACAAAAACGGUGAAUACUCAUUACAAAACCAAAGUGCGGACCAGUGGAUGGUAUUCGGCCGUCGAGGCAGUGAGGUGUUAUUGAUCCAAGAUUGCUACGGAGACACCGCGGCAGCGUUUGCGCGCGUCCCCUACUGGCCGACUGCGCCUGAACUUAGUGCAAUAUUCCAUCGCAGCGGAAUCGCUGCGCAAACGUACGGCCGACUGCUCUGCGAACCACGCAACAGCCAGAUGACCCAGCUUAAAACUAGUGAAGCAUACAAACAAAUCAGAAAUUAUUAACGACAAUGGCAUUGGCAUUAAGUGUUCCUGUCCCGAAAGAGGCUAAAAUUUUCAUGAUGAGGGUUAGGGUAUUUGAAUAAAAAUCGACGCGUAUUGUUUAA
rnacentral:misc_RNA from 1 species